rnacentral:rRNA from 1 species
AUUGAACGCUGGCGGCAGGCCUAACACAUGCAAGUCGAACGAGUGGCGGACGGGUGAGUAAUGUCUGGGAAACUGCCUGAUGGAGGGGGCUAACUACUGGAAACGGUAGCUAAUACCGCAUACAAUUGGCUGUGCCCAGAUGGGAUUAGCUAGUAGGUGGGGUAAUGGCUCACCUAGGCGACUAUCACUAGCUGGUCUGAGAGGAUGACCAGCCACACUUGAACUGAGACACGGUCCAGACUCCUACGGGAGGCAGCAGUGGGGAAUAUUGCACAAUGGGCGAAAGCCUGAUGCAGCCAUGCCGCGUGAAUGAAGAAGGCCUUCGGGUUGUAAAGUACUUUCAGCGGGGAGGCGGUACCCGCAGAAGAAGCACCGGCUAACUCCGUGCCAGCCGCCGCGGUAAUUC